AGUACGGUGGUUCCUCAAAAAGCUAAAAAUAGAACCAGUAAUGAUCCAGCAAUUCCACUCCUGGGUAUAUAUCUCAUCACUGUUUUUAGUUCUAAUAUUAUUUCCUAGACUUCUAGGUACUUACCUGUAAAAGAAAAUGAUGGAGAAAAAGAAGGACAGAAGGAUGAAGAGAGGAAGGAAGGAAGGGUCCUGGGGAGAGUGGGGAGGGAAUUCAGAACACACAUUUUCAGUUAAGAAUGAUGAACAGGGUAGUGUACUCUUCCUCCUCAAAUGCCACUGAAAUGAAAGGAAAAGAGUACCAAAACCUUUCAGUUUGUUCUUUUGAUAAUAGGGUAGGGUGGAAUCAUUAGCAGACCAAAGAUAAAUUUCUGACCUAAAGAAAGCAAAUGAGAACAUAUUGACAUAUAAGCCCUGGGACAAAAGGCAACAGCACAGGUGUGAGCCAUCUUUCCUAAAAUAGCUUGGCUUCCCAGUGAGGGGAACAGAAGGCAGAAGGAUUAUAUAUAAAACAGGUGCUCCUUCCCACUUCUGCAGAGCCUGUAUGCAGUGCUAACCAGCCCUGGAGAGAGAUAAUGCUCCCAGUGAGGGUGUGGUCUCCAGAAAACAAAACAAAACAUUUUUGUUAUGAUGUUGGGAAUGAAACCCUGAUUGCUUUUGUGUUCUUGCCCAUGUAUCUUAAAGAAGCCUACCCAUCAAUGAGAUUUGCCAGCUUACCUUGAAAUCUUCCCAAUCAGUGAUAUCUUUUGAGAAAAAAACAACCUAUUCAAACCUACUCAGCAGUAGAAGAAAUCCAUAUAAGCUCCUUGAAUUCAUCAACCUAGCCUUUCUUUUUAAGUAUGGACAGAUGACCAAUGCUGAAACCAGGGGAAAAGCUACAGCACCAAAUAACAUAAGAAAGACGAAUAAAGAAAGCGAUAGACCAAAAGAAAUUAAAGUGAAAAUUCAGGAGGGAGAUAGCUUUACAUGUUCCUGCAGACAAAGAAGAGGGAAGCCUCAUUAUUGACAGGUUGACCUUCACAGGACACUUAAACUGCCUGAAUUGAAGCCCAGUCUGCUGCUGCUGGGAAAGGUUUCCAGAACUGCACAGUAAUUCCUGACUUGGCUCCUAGCUGGAACUGGGAUUCCCAGAGCAAAUGAGGAGCUCUGCCUCCCAAGCCCUCAGAUCCCUGGAUGUCUCCUAACAGAUGACAGACUCCCCUGCUGGGAUGUUUUCCCAACAGGGAGUGCCCUGCCAAUUGGCUAGGGAGGUUUGUCAUGCCUUGCAGCCUAUUUAUAAAGUUUUCUCCUUCACUUAAAAUGAGGCCUUGUGUAUACGUAUUUAGUGUGCAAGAAUGUAUGUUCUUUCAUUAUAAAGAGCCUCAUUAGGGUAAUAGAUUUUUGCUUUUAAAUCUUGCUUCAAAUGCUAAGUUAAAGUGUGAGCAAACAUGUAUCAGUAUAGCCUCACUGGUUUGGACUCUGUUGCUUUGAGGUUUGUGAUAAUUGGUUGGACUAAUGUGUGCAUUUGCUAUGUCAGUCAUCUUCUUUAUAUUGUAAAUUAAUAGCAUCCCAGAGGCUUAAAAGAACGACUUUUAAGUACUUCAUAAACAACUACUCAAAUGCUCAUUAUAAUUACUCUUAUCUAUUCAUCACAUCUUUUCUCGAAAAGAAUCAGAGACUUAAGAAGUUGACAAGGUCAAUCUUCAAAUCUGAGUCCUUGGCAUUAUUUGGAAAGAAUGAUUUUUAUCAGGUAUUUAUCUUUAGCCCAGAUUUCUGUUUUCCACCCCACCCCCCACGUCCUGCUUGGCUGCUAUUUUAAUUUAUUAUUCAUGUAAAGUGUUUGAAAGCUAGUCUAUGCUGACUUGCAGAUGUCAGAUUGUCCCCAGGCUAUUUAACUUCUGAAGUGUCCAGUAGAUCUGCUUUCCGUUUGUUGUGCUCCACUAAAAAAUAAAACACUCAGGGAGGAGACAGUCUCUCAAAAGACUUGCCUUGAUUACUACAAAACACUUUUGGGACAGACAUCCCAGUCAUUCCACUCGGGAGCUGUUCAGGAGAUGAUAACACAGAGCCUUGAACCUCAUCUCCUUCUCUCCCAACUCACAAGCUCUUUGAGCCGCCUCUGGUGAACAUGUCAUCCUCCUCACAAGGGCACCACAGUUUAGAAUUUUGCUCUUGUAACACUUCCUUUCCCAAAGUGAAAGACUUGUUUAGAGAUCAUUUCUAGAACAUCUUCCAUUCAAGAACAAAGGAGCUCUGACUUCAAACUCUAUGAUACAAACUUUGUUCCAUAUUGAAGCAAUUUGAAUUUAGAAAGUCCAGUCUUUUGAUCACUAUAAAACCAGGGAUGAGGAACCCCUCCCCUUCUUCUGCUGCACUUGAAAAUCUAGCAGUAUAAACUCUGUAAGUGCCCCAUUGCUGUCAGUAGAUCACGUUCCCAGGGCUUUGUGUCCCUGGCACAAGUGAGAGAUCAAGACCGUUUCAUCUAGGACUCAGCUCAGCAUCACCUCCCCUGUAAAACAGUCCCGCACACUGACUGCCCCAAGGUGUGUGUGGUAGGUGCCUCCUCGUAUUCCUUUUAUAAAAUCAUCUUGCUUCAUGCAGAAUCUCAUCCCUGACUGGCUCCUUCACUCCAUUGUCAGUUCCUCCAGAGCAGAGAGGCUUUCCGGAUUAUCACAUCCAGCACAGUGCCCGGCAAGAUAUAGCACAUCCUCAAUAUAUGUUUGUAGCAUAAAUAAAUUUACAGCAUGACCGAAAGAAUUCUAAGAGUCAAACCAUCCUAUCAAAGAUGAAUGGAGGGAGUU